AUAUAUUUAAAACUCAAAUUUUUAUUCAUCGAAGCUCACCGUUCAUUCAUUUUCAAGUUUUAUACGUUUUAAUUUUUAUUCAUUCAGCUCACCGUUUAUUCAUUUUCAAUAUGUGGCAAUGACCAAUGACGAAAAUAUUGAAGAAAGGUGGAAAACCGAGUAGAAAUGGACAUGAAGCAGCCCUGUGCGAUCGCACAGGAUUUGUGUUCGCUCGCACAGGGAAGAAGAGAAGAUAUUGAAAGCAAGCAGAGCUGUGCGAUCGAGCUGCUGCUGAGUGCGUUCGCACAAAAACGCAAAAACGUUCCAGGAACUCCUCCAUUUUGCAUGCGAUCGCACAGGAUUUGUGUGCGUUCGCACCAAAUUCUUGUGCGCACACAGAGGGAAAGCCAUGAGACCACACGAAGAAAAUUUGAAGAAAUUGGCUAACUCGGGUGUGUGCGAUCACGCAGAUUAUUUGUGCGCUCGCACGACACUAAUGAAGUGAUUCGUCACUCUACUCGUUUGCACAAGAUUUAUGUGCGCCCACACCGGUUCAUUCGCACCUGGGUCUGUGCGUUCGAACACCGACGUGGGCUGGGCACUUUUCGAGAUUUAAAAUUCUAUUUCGGGAAACAUAUAAAUACAUUUUCUUAUUUUAUUUUUGAGAGUUAGUUUUUCAUAGUUAGUUUUCAGAUUUUAGAAGUGAGUUCUUAGCUUUUAUGCUUUGAUUUUAGAGAGAGAAAGUCAAGAAUCCUUGGUGUAGAAUUCAAUUUUGAAGAUAAUUGCAAAAAUUUUGAAGCUUCAUUGUAAUA